UGGGGAAUUUUGGACAAUGGGCGAAAGCCUGAUCCAGCAAUGCCGCGUGUGUGAAGAAGGCCUUCGGGUUGUAAAGCACUUUUGUCCGGAAAGAAAUCCUUGGCUCUAAUACAGUCGGGGGAUGACGGUACCGGAAGAAUAAGCACCGGCUAACUACGUGCCAGCAGCCGCGGUAAUACGUAGGGUGCAAGCGUUAAUCGGAAUUACUGGGCGUAAAGCGUGCGCAGGCGGUUUGCUAAGACCGAUGUGAAAUCCCCGGGGCUCAACCUGGGAACUGCACUGGUGACUGGCAGGCUAGAGUAUGGCAGAGGGGGGUAGAAUUCCACGUGUAGCAGUGAAAUGCGUAGAGAUGUGGAGGAAUACCGAUGGCGAAGGCAGCCCCCUGGGCCAAUACUGACGCUCAUGCACGAAAGCGUGGGGAGCAAACAGGAUUAGAUACCCUGGUAGUCCACGCCCUAAACGAUGUCAACUAGUUGUUGGGGACUUCAUUUCCUUAGUAACGUAGCUAACGCGUGAAGUUGACCGCCUGGGGAGUACGGUCGCAAGAUUAAAACUCAAAUGAAUUGACGGGGUCAUAGCUGUUUCCU
rnacentral:rRNA from 1 species